rnacentral:tRNA from 1 species
GGUCUCGUGGCCCAGCUGGUAGAGCAUGCGCGUACAAAUCGUGGGCGGCGUUCAUACGUGGGUUCGAAUCCCACCGGGGCUA